ACGGAGGACCCGAGCGUUAUCCGGAUUUAUUGGGUUUAAAGGGUGCGUAGGCGGAUUGGUAAGUUAGAGGUGAAAGCUCAGCGCUUAACGUUGAAACUGCCUCUGAUACUGUCGGUCUAGAGUAUAGUUGCGGAAGGCGGAAUGUGUGGUGUAGCGGUGAAAUGCUUAGAUAUCACACAGAACACCGAUUGCGAAGGCAGCUUUCCAAGCUAUUACUGACGCUGAGGCACGAAAGCGUGGGGAGCGAACAG
rnacentral:rRNA from 1 species